CUGAUUGCCUCAACUUGAGUGAGACACGCCCCGACUCUGUUGGAUCAGCAUGGUUCUGGGUGUGGCUGAGGGAACUCACUGAAGACAGAAGCCCCCACGCUAGGGCGGCUUAUUUCCCUCCAAUGGUGUAGAAGGGAAACCAAGAAGGAAGGCUGAUUCCGCUCCUUCGGAGGCGCUGCGGUCUUCGCCUUCGCCUUGGAUGCGUCUCCUGGUGCCCACUGCAGCCCCUUCAGCCUCCUGUAACGGGCUUGGUGGGGACACUGCAGUGAGCUCCAGGCCUUCGGCCCGACCCUCUGCUCUCUUCCUCACCUGAUUCUGCAGGAGCCACUCUGCAGGGGCCUCAUCUGGGUGCUGGGGCCACUGCAGGCUGCUCAGGGAGGCUUUGGGCAGAGCAGCAGGCAGCAGGAUGGACAAGAGCGAUGUAUGCAGAGAACACCCCGAAGAGCUGAGAGCUGCUUGGGCUUCUGGGCCUUGUGAGACGCCUGCCUCUCCCAAGGGCUGUUCCUGCUCCGACCCUCAGCCUCCUCCUCCAGGCGCCUCGGACAGCUGGCCUCCAGGUUGCUCCAGGAAGCUAGCUCCCUGACACCUUUUGGGUGUGCGUGGCCCAUGUGGCAUCUGUCCUGCCCCUGCCUGAGGAAGACCCUGGCACCUGGCACGGCUGCCUCUUUUAGAGCCAAGACUCAGUCAUUCAGCCAACACGAGGCCUGCACUGAGUACGAUCCCCUCGGCCUCCUCCAGACCUAACAUUGCAGCUUUGCUGGUGCCUGGCCCGGGCACCUUCGCCUCCAUCAGGCUUGCCUCCGCUGUCCUCCCGUCCACCUGCCACUUCACAGCCCAGCCCCAAGUGGCUCAGUGCUCCUCUCCCAGCUCCCACGGCCACUGCAGAGGGGAACACAGGGUCCAGUGAGGCCAGGAGGGGACUGAGCUCCCACGGGGCAGGACAAGGGUCCAAAUCCAGAACUACUUGCUCUGCACGGCCUCCUGUACCACAGAGCUACCCGAGCCCCUCGUUAGGUCAUUCAAGCAACUCAGUCUUGAAAUCCACCCCUGUACCACCAGUUCUGCCAGCAAGUCUCUGUUUGAGCUUUCUCCCUGACCCGCAGCCCUGCAGGCCCUGGAGCUGGUGGGCUUGGGUUUCAUCUGCAC
rnacentral:lncRNA from 1 species